UUGGGUUGUAGUUACCCGACGCAAACUUUUUCAUCACCUGUGCACUGUUUGUAGACUUGGGUAAGGAAAGCUUGGUUUUGCAUAAUCUGGUUUUCCUUACAUUUUCUGGUCUACGUAUUUUUAUUACACGCUCAGUCUGUCUUGGAAUGUUAUUUAGCGGGCUUCAUUGCCUUUAAAUCUUGUACAACUUUCAACAACGGAUCUCUUGGCUCUCGCAUCGAUGAAGAACGCAGCGAAAUGCGAUAAGUAAUGUGAAUUGCAGAAUUCAGUGAAUCAUCGAAUCUUUGAACGCACCUUGCGCUCCUUGGUAUUCCGAGGAGCAUGCCUGUUUGAGUGUCAUGAAAUUCUCAACCUUUUCAGCUUUUGUUGAUUAGGCUUGGACUUUGGGAGUUUUUGCAGGCUUCUCAGUGGUCUGCUCUUCUUAAAUAUAUCAAUGCCGGGGCCUCCUGUUGUCUAGCAUAUGGUGUGAUAGUUAUCUACGCCAUUACGAACAAAUGUAAUAAGGAGGCUCAGCUUCUAAUUGUCUUUUAAGAGGCAAUCUCUGACAUUUUUGACCUCAAAUCAGGUAGGACUACCCGCUGAACUUAAGCAUAU
rnacentral:rRNA from 1 species